AUUGAACGCUGGCGGCAUGCCUAACACAUGCAAGUCGAACGAGUGGCGGACGGGUGAGUAAUGUCUGGGAAACUGCCUGAUGGAGGGGGAUAACUACUGGAAACGGUAGAUAAUACCGCAUACCAUCAGACGUGCCCAGAUGGUAUUAGCUUGUGGGUGGGGUAACGGCUCACCAAGGCGACGAGCCCUAGCUGGUCUGAGCGGAUGACCAGCCACACUGGAACGGAGACACGGCCCAGACUCCUACGGGAGGCAGCAGUGGGGAAUAUUGCACAAUGGGCGCAAGCCUGAUGCAGCCAUGCCGCGUGUAUGAAGAAGGCCUUCGGGUUGUAAAGUACGUUCAGCGGGGAGGCGUUACCCGCAGAAGAAGCACCGGCUAACUACGUGCCAGCAGCCGCGGUAAUUC
rnacentral:rRNA from 1 species